rnacentral:rRNA from 1 species
UUUUUCCAGAAUAAUCGGCUAUACAUUUUAAUAUUUAACUCUACUUGUUGUUAUAUCUUCUAUUGUUGGAGUUUUUAUUCUAUUUUUGUAAAAUGUUUUAGUUUUUUGUUGUGUUUUGAAGAUAUAUAAAAUUUGGUUUUUGAACUGGAUUAGUACCCAGGUAAUCAAAAUUUAUUAAUUCGGGAGUAAAGUUUAGUUUAAACCGAAAAAAUAUUGACUGACUUUGGAUUUUUCUUUGGAAUAUGUGACUUUUGGAUAGUCCUCCUUAUUAGUUAAUUUUGUCGGCUCAUGUAUGAUUGUUUAGUUUUUAUUAUGUUUGUGAUGCUGUUAUGAUUUUUAUUUUAAAACAGAUAUAUACUUGGCUUAUAAGUUGAUAUUUCAUGUGUUACUAUUAUUAAUUUUUUUUGGAUUUUUUAUUAAAUGUUUUUUUGAAAUUGGAAAAGAAAGUAAUUGACUUUUUAUGUUUGAAUGAAUUUAAUAAACAAGGUGGUAC